GGGGGAUAUUGCACAAUGGAGGAAACUCUGAUGCAGCAACGCCGCGUGAGGGAAGACGGUUUUCGGAUUGUAAACCUCUGUCCUCAGGGACGAUAAUGACGGUACCUGAGGAGGAAGCUCCGGCUAACUACGUGCCAGCAGCCGCGGUAAUACGUAGGGAGCAAGCGUUGUCCGGAUUUACUGGGUGUAAAGGGUGCGUAGGCGGCCCUGCAAGUCAGGCGUGAAAGGCGGAGGCUUAACCUCCGAGCUGCGUUUGAAACUGUGGGGCUUGAGUGGAGCAGAGGCAGGCGGAAUUCCCGGUGUAGCGGUGAAAUGCGUAGAGAUCGGGAGGAACACCAGUGGCGAAGGCGGCCUGCUGGGCUUUAACUGACGCUGAAGCACGAAAGCAUGGGUAGCAAAC
rnacentral:rRNA from 1 species